rnacentral:rRNA from 1 species
UACAGAGGGUGCAAGCGUUGCUCGGAAUCAUUGGGCGUAAAGGGCAAGUAGGUGGUCUCGUUUGUCUGAGGUGAAAUCCCUGGGCUUAACCUAGGAACUGCCUCAGAAACGGCGAGACUGGAGUACUGGAGAGGGUCGCGGAAUUUCCGGUGUAGCGGUGAAAUGCGUAGAUAUCGGAAAGAACACCAGUGGCGAAGGCGACUUACUGGACUCAUAUUGACGCUGAGGUGCGAAAGCGUGGGGAGCAAACGGGAUUAGAUACCCCGGUA